UACGUAGGGUCCGAGCGUUGCCCGGAAUUACUGGGCGUAAAGAGCUCGUAGGCGGUUUGUCGCGUCUGCCGUGAAAGUCCGGGGCUCAACUCCGGAUCUGCGGUGGGUACGGGCAGACUAGAGUGAUGUAGGGGAGACUGGAAUUCCUGGUGUAGCGGUGAAAUGCGCAGAUAUCAGGAGGGACACCGAUGGCGAAGGCAGGUCUCUGGGCAUUAACUGACGCUGAGGAGCGAAAGCAUGGGGAGCGAACAGG
rnacentral:rRNA from 1 species